rnacentral:lncRNA from 1 species
AUACAUACAAUAUACAUACAUGACUUUAAAUUUAAGAUAAUAACUUAGAAAUAUUCUGAGUUUGCUCAAACAUUCUCCUAAUCAUACAAGCUCUCAUACUCAACAAGGUAAAUCAAAAUAUCGCGGUUUAUUAGGUUAAUCAUCUCUCAUUUUUUAUAUGCUAACCUAACUCAUAUUGCCAAAAUGAUUCCAUAGCAAUAUUGGAUUCUGAUUUCAAUGAUCCACCAAUUUCUGUCAGUAAACCCGAUACUGUUCCUGAGUGUUUGAACUUCCAUCUUAAAACUCUUGAGUGGCGAGGCUAUCUAGGAAGACCGGAAUGACCUGAGGAUCGUGAAGGAGUUAUAAAUCUAUGUCUAAGGCUUCAACUUAGUGUCAGCUUGUAAUUCAACCCCAUCAUAGUCCAUAGAAUGUUUGUUUCAAAUCCCAAAAAUAUAUAUACUUUUGAUCAUGUGAAUGUAUAGGUCCCCAUGUUAACGCUAAAAAUUGUUAGUGUAAAGCCUUUUUAAUUCUAUUUAAGUCUGCAUCCGAAACAGAGUAUCCGACUAAAACAGAGGAAUCUCUUUGAUGACAAGAAAAUACAAAAAUCAGAGAAGUCAAACUUUUAUAAAUGUGUAUGUAAUAGUAGACGACGUACCUUGUUAGUCAAGUUUCGUUACUUUUAGGUCUACUAUUCAAAG